UAGGAAUAUUGGACAAUGGGGGAAACCCUGAUCCAGCCAUGCCGCGUGUGUGAUGAAGGCCUUAGGGUUGUAAAACACUUUCGGCUGUGAAGAUAAUGACAGUAGCAGAAGAAGAAGCUCCGGCUAAAUUCGUGCCAGCAGCCGCGGUAAUACGAAUGGAGCGAGCGUUGUUCGGAAUCACUGGGCGUAAAGCGUGCGCAGGCGGUUGUGAAAGUCAGGAGUGAAAUCCCAGGGCUCAACCCUGGAAUUGCUCUUGAAACUCCACAACUAGAGUACUGGAGGGGUUAGCGGAAUUCCGAGUGUAGCAGUGAAAUGCGUAGACAUUCGGAGGAACACCAAUGGCGUAGGCAGCUAACUGGACAGUAACUGACGCUCAUGCACGAAAGCGUGGGGAUCAAAC
rnacentral:rRNA from 1 species